rnacentral:misc_RNA from 1 species
AUCCGUGUUGAACUACACCUGUUGCUUCGGCGGGCCCGCCGUGGUUCACGCCCGGCCGCCGGGGGGCCUUGUGCCCCCGGGCCCGCGCCCGCCGAAGACCCCUCGAACGCUGCCCUGAAGGUUGCCGUCUGAGUAUAAAAUCAAUCAUUAAAACUUUCAACAACGGAUCUCUUGGUUCCGGCAUCGAUGAAGAACGCAGCGAAAUGCGAUAAGUAAUGUGAAUUGCAGAAUUCCGUGAAUCAUCGAAUCUUUGAACGCACAUUGCGCCCCCUGGCAUUCCGGGGGGCAUGCCUGUCCGAGCGUCAUUGCUAACCCUCCAGCCCGGCUGGUGUGUUGGGUCGGCGUCCCCCCCGGGGGACGGGCCCGAAAGGCAGCGGCGGCGCCGCGUCCGAUCCUCGAGCGUAUGGGGCUUUGUCACGCGCUCUGGUAGGGUCGUCCGUGCUGGCCAGCCAGCGACCUCACGGUCACCUAUUUUUUCUCUUAGGUUGACCUCGGAUCAGGUAGGGAUACCCGCUGAACUUAAGCAUAUCAAUAAGCGU